AUUUUCCCCAGAACACCUUCCGGUACCCUCACUAUGUUACGACUUAUCUCAUCUUCCGACGAGAGCGACGGGCGAUUUGUACGCACCUUAGCACUAAUAUUUCACAUGAACUCUCUACUUAUACAAUAUUUUCUACAAAUUACUCCCAAGUCCGCCUUUAAUCAAAAUUUACAAUUCGAUAUCCGUCAACAAAUAAUUAUUGUAACCCAUCUCUACUUUUACAUUAGCUGCACCUUGAUCUGACAUCAAAAGCAUUCUCCUCUUACUAAACCUUAAAAAGCUACCACUAUUUCCAAAUUUAGUAGUUGAACAACCACUUUUACCGACAACUACCCACCUCUUAAAGGUAAUCUGACGACGACGGUAUACAAGCUGUGUUUCUAAGUAACCCUAAACACAUGCAAUUAAAAGUAAGCUAAAUCGUGGACCAUCAAUUACAGGACAGGUUCCCCUGGAAAGAAUUAAGGCACCGCCAAGUUUUUUGGGUUUUAAGCAUCCUGCUCUACAGAACUAACAACAGCUACACAGCAGCUCGUAAUACCCAAGUAAACACUCUCAAGAAUCAAAGUUUACAGAAUGAAUAACGGGGUAUCUAAUCCCGGUCUCCCACCACUCUCUCGGGGCCUCAGAAAGAUGAAAGUGCAAAAACAACUUAUUUUAUUCAAAUUCCACCUCUCUAAAACAAAUCAAACCUUCAGCUCUUUCUCAAUAAUUUUCUUAACCCCCUUUUUUACUAAAAUCUCUUGACUCGACCUGUUUGUCUAACCGCGGUGGCUGGCACAAACUUUACCAGGCCUAAUGGCUAAUUACUGGCACAAACAAAAAUUCAUUUACCAAUCUCCAAUACUGGCGUCAGUCACCCGUGUGAAAAAUCUUAACGUAAUAUCCCUAAAAUUAUGUUAUACUCAACCAUGCAAACAAGUUUUUAACCCCCAAUGCAUCGCCCUGAGCUCUUACUCACCGGACCCCGUAAAGUACCAUGUAUUUGACUAUAGCCAAAACCAAGACUAUGGACCAAAACCAAAUCCGCC
rnacentral:rRNA from 1 species